rnacentral:rRNA from 1 species
AUUGAACGCUGGCGGCAGGCCUAACACAUGCAAGUCGAACGAGUGGCGGACGGGUGAGUAAUGUCUGGGAAACUGACUGAUGGAGGGGGAUAACUACUGGAAAAGGUAGCUAAUACCGCAUACCAUAAGAUGUGCCCAGAUGGGAUUAGCUUGUUGGUGGGGUAACGGCGCACAAAGGCGACGAUCCCUAGCUGGUCUGAGAGGAAUACCAGCCACACUGGAACUGAGACACGGUCCCGACUCCUACGUGAGGAAGCAGUGGGGAAUAUGUCACAAUUGGCGCAAGCCUGAUGCAGCCAUUCCGCGUGUAUGAAGAAGGCCUUCGGGUUGUAAAGUACUUUCAGCGGGGAGGCGUUACCCGCAGAAGAAGCACCGGCUAACUCCGUGCCAGCCGCCGCGGUAAUAC